AUUCCCUUUCACCCUUACCCACUCAAGAUCUUCCAGGCAUAGCACCAGAAGACAUAUGCAGGCACAGCAGGGCAUAUGGAGAUGGAAGACACAGCCAGGGCUCACAGAGCAUACAUCUAUUCAAAGAGCUAUCCAAGAAAGCAGGCAAUUACACUGUGACAUGCUAGGGUGAUAGGACCACAAAUGGUGUUUGAGGUGGGAUGUAUCUUCUCACAGGUGUAAAAACACAGGGUGCUCACCUGCUGUAUCUCUUCCUGAUCCUUUCUUCCCUGCAAUAACUCAAAAGCAGUUUCCAGGCCAUCACUGCUAUAGCAUUGCUGUAACACAAGAUGUGUUCCUACUUAAGUGUCCAUAAAAUAGCCAUGGAGGUGGAAGAAGAGAAGGAAUAGUAAUUGUAGAAUAAAAAUAAAACUGCUGAAAGCUGCCAUUUAUAUACUGAGCACUGUUCUAAGUGCUGUACAUGUAUCAUCUCAUUUACUUCUCCAGGAAUCCUCUGAAGCAGGUAUCAGCACCCUCACUUACAAUGGAGGGAACAAAUGCAGAAGAGUUAUAUGGCUGGUAGAUCCCACCACCUUUGCGGGUUGGCCGAUGACAUCCUCUCUGGUGGCAGACAUACCCAAAAAUACCUUUUGCCACAGGCUUGGGACUACUAUCCUGUGAAUGUCAGCAAGCCUGUCCUCUACAGGGAUCCGUGGAGAAGAUAAACUCUACAAGAAACAGAAAAAUGUCUACCUGUCUCCAGAACCAUGCAGACUCCCUCCCCUUCAGGAUCUCCUAGCCCCUGAUGAAUGAACAGCACUUCCAAGAUGCUUGAGACACCGGGCACAGCUACUAUCAGUCAUGGCGCUCCCAACCUGCAGACAUUAUCAGUCUGCUGGACUGGAAAGAUACACGAACUGCACGCCCUUAAGCGGAGCUUCACCUCAUAAUAUUGGGAAAAGUAAGAGAAUCCUCUGACCUUCCAUAAACCCAGAAUCACCUGCACAGAACUUCCCUCCAUCAUUACUCAGAUUCCCAGGCCAGCGUUUUCCUUCCAUACCCAAACCUUCUCACAAGGAAGGUCGGCAGAAACAGAAUACAAACUCCAUAUUGCAAAGGUACAAUGGGUUCUCCCCCACCCCCGCUCCUUUUGUGCCACCCACUUAUGCCAUCCUUUUCCCACACACAACCACAUGGAAGGGUUUUCACUUUACUCUGUAACCAGCCUUCAUCAUAACCCAGUCUCCGUGCUCAGAACUAGAAAGACAGCCUUCUUAAUUCUCAGCGGAAUAUGGGCCUAACAGUGGUAGGACACCCCCCAGCUAUUCAAAGAAAAACCACCAGAGGAAAUAAUUUCAAAUCUGGCUUUACAAGCAUGUAAUAUAAAAAUAACUCUGCCUUUGUCUGCUAUAGAUGACUUUCCCUAAAGGGAUGGCUGUCCUUAAAGCAAUCGCUCAAUUCUCAUGGCAAACAGAUUCUUCUUUUUCCAGUACCCAGCACAUAUUCGUCCCUCCAGGAGAGCACCCCCACAUCCCACCUCUGACAGUAUCUAAAAUGCAAACAUUGAAGUCAUCAGAAUGACUCCUGUCAUCUCUGCUGGCCUAGGAACAUUCAGGACACUGCACCUUGGAUGACCGAGGAGCCCCUGCAGUUAGCUCUGGCCUCCAAGAACCACUACUCUUCCCUUCAUUAAGAUGUCAGCCCAGAAAGCUUGGUGAUCCCACAAUAGCCACAACAGGUUUUAAUGAAUCCCUGGAUUGUUUCUUGAAAGAAAACUGGAUUUCUUCAGAUAUUUGAUUCAUUCUUUGAUCAGACAGUUAGAGGAAUAGGGAUGGGGUGCUCAAGAUAAGAAAGGGGUUGGGGCAGUCAUGGUAAAUAGUAUGAGAAUUCACAAAAAUGGGCCAGGUUGUGGUGGCUCACGCCUGUAAUCCCAGCACUUUGGGAGGCCGAGGGGGUGCGGAUCACUUGAGGUCAAGAGUUUGAGACCAGCCUGGCCAACAUGGUGAAACCCCGUCUCUACUAAAAAUACAAAAAUUAGCCGGGCAUGGUGGUGAAUGCCUGUAAUCCCAGCUACUAGAGAGGCUGAAGCAGGAAAAUAGCUUGGACCCCGGAGGUGGAGGUUGCAGCGAGCCAAGAUUGUGUCACUGCACUCCAGCCUGGGUGAUGGAGCUAGACUCCAUCUCAAAAAUAAAUAAACAAAUAAGUAAAUAAAUAAAUAAAUAUUCACAAGAAUGCUCACCUUGUCAUUCCAAGACAUCCUUGGGGUAGACCUAGAAAUGCAUACUUUAUCAGCUCAUGGUUUCAUUGCCCUUCAACCAAACAAGAAGCACUAACACCACAACGGAGCAUAGCUCAAAAGAUGCAUGCUGAGUGAAUAGCCAAAAACAAUUGUUUGGUAAACUACUCUGCAAUUAUCUCCUGAUUAGCCUGAUGGCUUAGUUUUAUUAACUAAAGUGUAUAAUUAUGCUCUUAUUAAUAUUCUAUUUCUUCUUGGCAACCCAAUGUCCCCUGACCUUCUUAAAAGUUUUGCCAUAAAGCAUUGCAGGUAGUUUAUCCAUGCGUGUGACAGGGUCCUAAAGUAAGUCCAG
rnacentral:lncRNA from 10 species